rnacentral:rRNA from 1 species
UACGGGGGGGGCAAGCGUUGUUCGGAAUUACUGGGCGUAAAGGGCUCGUAGGCGGCCAACUAAGUCAGACGUGAAAUCCCUCGGCUUAACCGGGGAACUGCGUCUGAUACUGGAUGGCUUGAGUGUGGGAGAGGAAUGCGGAAUUCCAGGUGUAGCGGUGAAAUGCGUAGAUAUCAGGAGGAACACCGGCGGUGUAGACGGCUUUCUGGACCGUAGCUGACGCUGAGACACGAAAGCGUGGGUAGCAAACAGG